CAGCCGCCGCGGUAAUACGGAGGGGGCAAGCGUUAUCCGGAAUUAUUGGGCGUAAAGCGCGCGCAGGUGGUUUAAUAAGUCUGAUGUGAAAGCCCACGGCUCAACCGUGGAGGGUCAUUGGAAACUGUUAAACUUGAGUGCAGGAGAGAAAAGUGGAAUUCCUAGUGUAGCGGUGAAAUGCGUAGAGAUUAGGAGGAACACCAGUGGCGAAGGCGGCUUUUUGGCCUGUAACUGACACUGAGGCGCGAAAGCGUGGGGAGCGAACAGGAUUAGAUACCCGCGUAGUCCCUGUCUCUUAUAA
rnacentral:rRNA from 1 species